CAAUCGGCCCUUUACAGGGCUAACAAAUAUUUACUAAAGAGUUAUUU
rfam:Aedes aegypti strain Liverpool supercont1.396 genomic scaffold, whole genome shotgun sequence.